UACGAAGGGGGCUAGCGUUGCUCGGAAUCACUGGGCGUAAAGCGCACGUAGGCGGAUCUUUAAGUCAGGGGUGAAAUCCUGGAGCUCAACUCCAGAACUGCCUUUGAUACUGGGGAUCUUGAGUCCGGAAGAGGUGAGUGGAACUCCGAGUGUAGAGGUGAAAUUCGUAGAUAUUCGGAAGAACACCAGUGGCGAAGGCGGCUCACUGGUCCGGUACUGACGCUGAGGUGCGAAAGCGUGGGGAGCAA
rnacentral:rRNA from 1 species